UACGGAGGGGGCUAGCGUUGUUCGGAAUUACUGGGCGUAAAGCGCACGUAGGCGGCUUUGUAAGUUAGAGGUGAAAGCCCAGAGCUCAACUCUGGAACUGCCUUUAAGACUGCAUCGCUUGAAUUGUGGAGAGGUAAGUGGAAUUCCGAGUGUAGAGGUGAAAUUCGUAGAUAUUCGGAAGAACACCAGUGGCGAAGGCGACUUACUGGACACAUAUUGACGCUGAGGUGCGAAAGCGUGGGGAGCAAACAGG
rnacentral:rRNA from 1 species